rnacentral:snRNA from 1 species
AAAAAGGGCUUCUGUCAUGAGUGGCACAUGUGGGGUGCCUUGGUUGCUCUUCAUGUGGAGUUGACAUCAAGAGAUUUCAGAAGCAUAAUUUUUGUUACCAGGGCAGCUGGUGAUCAUUGGUCCCGGCACCCAU